CCUAUGAAGCUUUACUGUUCCCUGGGAUUGGCUUUGGGCCUUUCCUGUGCAGCUUAGGUGGAAGGCGAAGAAGGAGGCCCCCUUUCGGGGGGGCCCGAGCCAUCAGUGAGAUACCACUCUGGAAGAGCUCGGAUUCUAACCUUGUGUCAGACCCGCGGGCCAAGGGACAGUCUCAAGUAGACAGUUUCUAUGGGGCGUAGGCCUCCCAAAAGGUAACGGAGACGUGCAAAGGUUUCCUCGGGCCAGACGGACAUUGGUCCUCGAGUGCAAAGGAAGAAGGGAGCUUGACUGCAAGACUCACCCGUCGAGCAGAGACGAAAGUCGGCCUUAGUGAUCCGACGGUGCCAAGUGGAAGGGUCGUCGCUCAACGGAUAAAAGUUACUCUAGGGAUAAUAGGCUGAUCUUCCCCAAUAGUCCACAUCGAUGGGAAGGUUUGGCACCUCGAUGUCGGCUAUUCGCCACCUGGAGCUGUAGGUGGUUCCAAGGGUUGGGCUGUUCGCCCAUUAAUGCGCAUCAAUAUGGUCAGGUAA
rnacentral:rRNA from 1 species